ACUUAUUUGUAAAUCUUACUUUGCUGAACAUUAUUGCUGUUUAUAGUUUAUCUCUAUCUAUAAUAAUAUUCAAGAUAAUAAUCAAAAAGAGCAAAAUUUCCUUAAAAUUACUAAUUCAGGGCCAGCAACCCAACAACGAGUUGUCCGAUUCAUCUGAAAAUUUCAGGGCAGAUAGAUCUUGAACUGAUAAACAAUUUUACCCCAUGUCAGAUUUGCUCUAAAUGCUUUGGGUUUUGAGUUAUAAGCCAAAAACUGCAUUUUACCCCAUGUUCUAUUUUUAGCCAUGGCGGCCAUCUUGGUUUGAUGGCCGGGUCACCGGACACAUUUUUCAAACUACUAACCCAAAAGAUGAUUGUGGCCAAGUUUGGAUUAAUUUGGCCAAGUAGUUUUAGAGGAGAAGAUUUU
rnacentral:lncRNA from 1 species